ACCAACAUAGCACAGUGGUUUGAGUGGUGGACUAAGACUCCAGAAGACCAGGGUUCGAAUCCCCACUUGGUC